CCUCUCUGUACAGCUUACCGCCUCACGCACCCACGUCUCCCCCUCCCUCUCCAAUGCGUGUGGCGCUCGACGCUCCUGAGCCGCGCUUCCGCCGUUACCCUUGCCUGUGCCACCACCUCAAGCUUCCGCCACCGUGCAACGCCAUCGAUUUCCUCCGCUACGACGUCUUCUCGAGCGAUUCUGGACACCGCGUCCUACCCUGCACCAACACCUCAAGCUUCCGCCGCCGCACGGCGCCAUCGAUCUCCUCCAUUGCGACGUCUUCUCGGACAAUUCUUGGCACCCGUGGACAUCACGAACAUGGGGACAUCGACCCGUGGUCAAUUCCCCUAGUCGUCUGCCACCAUGGCCAGAGAGGAGCACCGUGGAUGUACUUUGUCUCCCAUGUGCCGGGGCGCGCAGCUGUACUUCCUCUCAUGGAUGAGCGCGGAGGGGUUGCGGCAUAUAGCCUCCAGCAACAACGAUGACGGCGGCAACGACACCAUCCUCACCGGACGAUUACAUGUGGCGCAGCGGCGGUGUCCUCUAGCCUCCCCCACUUUCUUUGUCAACACCAACAACAAGGUGGAAGCUUCCCAAGGCGGCCAUGGCGGCUUGCCCACGCCACCAGGCGACGUACCAAGAUGGCAUCAUUCACUCAGUUUUGCCCUGCAGUUCCAUGCAUUGAUUCAUAUCUUGGAUUCUGCAUGCAACCUGUUUGCCGAUAUGCCAGUGUGAUAUCGUUGAGCUCCUAAUCGAUUUUCUCCGUGCAUGUAGCUCUUAGAUGGGCUGGUGUCUCUUCUUGGCAUUAAUCCUCUACCAACCUCCAACUUUGUCAGGCAAGGAAGCUACUGCUGCAAGAUCAAUUCUUCCAUCAGUUGCGAUGCGGAGAAGUCAUCAAGAAUCAGGGACUCAGGGUCUACAAUACCAUCACAGUUGCCAUCAGUAUCAGUGCUGAGACCUCAAUCAAGAGAUAAUGAGAUUAAAGAAGCUUCAUCAUUCCAACAGGGUCUGCGCACAUUUACAAAAACAAAUGAUGUAAAUGAUUGGUAAUUUUUUAAGAAAAUAAGAACAAUGUCUUGCGAAAUGUGAGUGAUCUUACUGAUCCAAUAACUGAUCUUGCAAAAUUAUAGUAGACAAGAAAUGAUACUAUUUUUGGUUUUCGACUUUAGGGAAGCCGAAUAUUUCUGCACAACAGGGCACGGAUAUGCAGUGGAAUUAUUACACCUUUCUUUCCUCAGGUUUAGCAUUUAAUCAAAAAUCAUAUUUUAAAUUAGAGCAUGCGAUUCUAUUGUAUCAUUCAUAGUUUAGUGAAGCAAUCUCUUAAUGUUCAAAAUAACAAACAAUUCUAAGAUAGUUAUUAAUUUGGUUUAGAUUGCAUUUUCGAAGAAGUAUGAAAAUUUUGGGUAGAAUUACACAUGUGGUAUACCAUAUAACAGGCAAAGCAUUACACAUGCUCUAAUGGGCUAAUAUAUUUUGUUGGACUUAAAUAUGCCAUAUUAUUGAUACUCUGGUUUCGAGGGCAACUAAGUGGACCUAAACACUGACUCUGCUUUCGUACUAAUAUAGUACUAUGAGUCACUUCUGCUAGGAGUUAAUAAUGGGGAUAAUGAAAAGCAAGUUUUUUCUGCUACAAGAUACACAACAAAAGUUACAGGCAAAUCUUGAUAAUGCAUUGUGUCUCUCUUUGAUAGGGUAGUGUGUGUUGUUGUCAGCCUGAUCUUUAUGCUGGUAGUCUUUUGUGGGUGCAUCUAUGCUGGGUUUGUCUGUUUGGUUGGUUUUAUGCUGCCAAAUUCUUUCAAUUUUUGUUUUUAGUUUAUCUUUUUUGCUACACUUGGAGAGGACAAAAAAAUUAAUCUGGGUAAACUUGGUAUGGUUGUUUUGUUUUUCUAUGAGGAAUGGAACGGGGGGAGGGGGGCUAUUCCUGUUGAUCAAAAAAAUAAGUCCACGGAAGAGAAACAUUUUCUUGGUGCUGGGUGUACUCGAUUAUUUGUUUAAGGUGGGUCUAAAUGUCCGGGUUUAAAAUUAAUGAUAUGGUAACAUGCUUACACAUAAUUUAUUUAUUUCAUAUUAAUGCCAUCGUAGAAAUCGGUAGAAAGAAUUACCGAAAAAGGCUUUCGCCCCACUUUAUAUAUAAAGCACCGAACCACAAGAAAGAAUUAGGAGUACAAGAAAGGUAUUUUAUUCAUUAGUCGUCGAAUUAUUGCAAGAACAAUGGAUGAAUGAAAUUAUUUUACUACACAGUUCAGUGUUCAUUCCUUCUAGAUUAGGGCUUAGCACGGUGGAAGAGUAUUUUCACUACCUGCGAGACAACUAAUUAUUUUCUUGUGCUUGAUGAUAGCAUUGAUGAGCGGAUCCCACGGCGUGGCUCAGACGAUGACCUUAGUACUACAGUCUACAGAAGAGCUACAGGAAGACAACGCCGUUGCUCUUCGUGUGUGGCUGCCGAAUGCGAGGUUACAGUUGCUGCAUGGUCCCAAUUCUUCAUUUUCAUCCAUCGGCUCUGCUGUUAGGAACCUUGGUCAAGACAAAAUUGUGAAGCCAUGCAUGGAAGUGGCAGGAAGGCAUAGUCCAAAUGUCACAACAGAAAGGAAGUGACAGUGUGUACUGGUAAUAAAAAGGGAAGGGAGCCACCCCCUGUGUUUGUGACAGCAUAGAAUGAAUAGUUUGUCUAUAUAUUUGUGUUCUGUACAAAUGAAAGGUUUGGGAUUGGAAUAAGUGAGUCACUAGGGUGCAUGCUGAUAA